rnacentral:rRNA from 1 species
GAUGAACGCUGGCGGCGUGCCUAAUACAUGCAAGUCGAGCGAACAGACGAGGAGCUUGCUCCUUUGACGUUAGCGGCGGACGGGUGAGUAACACGUGGAUAACCUACCUAUAAGACUGGGAUAACUUCGGGAAACCGGAGCUAAUACCGGAUAACAUGUUGAACCGCAUGGUUCAACAGUGAAAGACGGUCUUGCUGUCACUUAUAGAUGGAUCCGCGCCGCAUUAGCUAGUUGGUAAGGUAACGGCUUACCAAGGCAACGAUGCGUAGCCGACCUGAGAGGGUGAUCGGCCACACUGGAACUGAGACACGGUCCAGACUCCUACGGGAGGCAGCAGUAGGGAAUCUUCCGCAAUGGGCGAAAGCCUGACGGAGCAACGCCGCGUGAGUGAAGAAGGUCUUCGGAUCGUAAAACUCUGUUAUUAGGGAAGAACAAAUGUGUAAGUAACUAUGCACGUCUUGACGGUACCUAAUCAGAAAGCCACGGCUAACUGCGUG